GAGGAGACUUCGACUCCGCACCAGCCCUUCUGAAGGAUAUAUUUAGAUUAAAAAAAACAAACAAAGGAAGAAUAGACGAGAUACAGCCCUAUGUAGCAGCAGUGGCAGUGCUGAGAGAGAGACAGGGACUCCCAGGUGGGGUUCUGAAUCCCCAGAGCAGAGUGAUGGAGCCAUCCCAGCCACAUAGCCUCACAGUUGGGCUAUGGUCGUCAGGAGCUCAUGUGAUAGUGACACAUAAGAUGUGUGGGAGAGAAUGAUGGAGGGAGAACGUUGAAGAGAAGGCUGCCAGGAGCUAUAG